GGAUUGUUAAACUUUUCUUUUUCUUGAAUUCCCCAGAAUCAUUGCAUCCCUGCCCUGUGCUGUCUUCCCAUUAUGACGUUUCUUUCUGCUAUCGAAGAGAGCUGACUGCACCAGAUUAUGCAGAGAAUAAAUAGGCCCCCAGACUUCCCUGGAGUGGUCCACGGGGCAAUGCUAUUCAGAAACACUGGCUGAUUGUAACAAUUGUGGCCUCUUCUCCUACAACAGUGAUGCUCUUAGCUGCUCAUGUUUCUCAAGACAACAAUGUUGACUUUGGAACCUGUGAUCUCUCUGGUCACAUACUACACUACAGACCAGCCACCUGAACUUGGAAGCACAGCUGAACUGGAAGAAAACUGCUGGAGACUUUGCUUAUUUCAUAGUAUAUAUAAUGAAUAGG
rnacentral:lncRNA from 1 species